rnacentral:tRNA from 1 species
UAAAAAUUAGUUAAUAAAUAACAUCAGCUUGUCAGGCUGAAAUAAUCACCCUAGAUAUUUUUAU